CCCUUAGAUGUUCUGGGCCGCACGCGUGCUACACUGAGUGGAUCAGCGGGUCAGGUUGCGCGAAAGCGUUUCCUAAUCUUUAAAUCCGCUCGUGAUGGGGAUUGACGGUUGCAAUUUUCUGUCAUGAACGAGGAAUACCUUGUAAGCGCGGGUCAUCAUCCCGCGCUGAAUACGUCCCUGCCCUUUGUACACACCGCCCGUCGCUCCUACCGAUUGAGUGGUCCGGUGAAUAAUUCGGACUGCAGCACUGCUUGGUCUCCAGGCUUUGCAGCGGAAAGUUUAGUGAACCUUAUCACUUAGAGGAAGGAGAAGUCGUAACA
rnacentral:rRNA from 1 species